rnacentral:rRNA from 1 species
GACGAACGCUGGCGGCGUGCUUAACACAUGCAAGUCGAACGGAAAGGCCCUGCUUUUGUGGGGUGCUCGAGUGGCGAACGGGUGAGUAACACGUGAGUAACCUGCCCUUGACUUUGGGAUAACUUCAGGAAACUGGGGCUAAUACCGGAUAGGAGCUCCUGCUGCAUGGUGGGGGUUGGAAAGUUUCGGCGGUUGGGGAUGGACUCGCGGCUUAUCAGCUUGUUGGUGGGGUAGUGGCUUACCAAGGCUUUGACGGGUAGCCGGCCUGAGAGGGUGACCGGCCACAAUGGGACUGAGAUACGGCCCAGACGCCUACGGGAGGCAGCAGUGGGGAAUAUUGCACAAUGGGCGGAAGCCUGAUGCAGCAACGCCGCGUGCGGGAUGACGGCCUUCGGGUUGUAAACCGCUUUCGCCUGUGACGAAGCGUGAGUGACGGUAAUGGAUAAAGAAGCACCGGCUAACUACGUG